GAUGAACGCUGGCGGCGUGCCUAAUACAUGCAAGUCGAGCGAACAGACGAGGAGCUUGCUCCUCUGACGUUAGCGGCGGACGGGUGAGUAACACGUGGAUAACCCACCUAUAAGACUGGGAUAACUUCGGGAAACCGGAGCUAAUACCGGAUAAUAUAUUGAACCGCAUGGUUCAAUAGUGAAAGACGGUUUUGCUGUCACUUAUAGAUGGAUCCGCGCCGCAUGAGCUAGUUGGUAAGGUAACGGCUUACCAAGGCGACGAUGCGUAGCCGACCUGAGAGAGUGAUCGGCCACCCUGGAGCUGAGCCACGGUCCAGACUCCUACGGGAGGCAGCAGUAGGGAAUCUUCCGCAAUGGGCGAAAGCCUGACGGAGCAACGCCGCGUGAGUGAUGAAGGUCUUCGGAUCGUAAAACUCUGUUAUUAGGGAAGAACAAAUGUGUAAGUAACUAUGCACGUCUUGACGGUACCUAAUCAGAAAGCCACGGCUAACUACGUG
rnacentral:rRNA from 1 species